AAGCCCCAUUCUUCCUUGACUCUGAAUACAAAACCCCUUUCGCAAGGUGAAGCUCCAUUGAUUCUGUAUACACAGAGAGAAUCUUCUCUGCACACAUUUGUUGAGCGGUUUUACAGCCUUAUACGUAUAUAAUCGUAUACACAAUUGGUUGAUGAUCUGACGAGGAAGUUCAGAUAUGUCAAUUCGGUUCAAAUUCAGGAGCUCCCUGAAUUAUGAGACGCUGGAGAUCGGGAGCCGCGGCUCGAUCUCCGUGGCGGAGCUGAGGGCGAAAAUCAUGCGCGGGAAGGUUUCUCAGCAGCAGCAAGGGUUUGAUCUCGUUUUCUCCGACGCGGAUUCUGGUUUAGGGUACAACUUCGAUUCUCAAAUUCCCAGUGGAUCCAGCGUGAUUGUUAAGAGAGUUCCCGGUGGAACACUUCCGGCCUCUGUGGCGGUGCCUAUUGUAGCUAUGAAGCAUGCCGGGGUAAAAGAGCCGCACAAUCUGAACCUAGCUAAGACUGGACCAAAGAACGACUAUGAUGACCUAGGUGCUGAUCUAUACCCCAAGCCUGAUUCAAACUUACCUGGAUUUAAUCAAGAACUUGAUCAAAAUAAAUUCAUGGGUAACAAGAAGGCUGCUGUCAUACGAAGUGGUUUUGAUCAACAUGGAAAUGAUAGGAAUGUUUUCCCAAUACCUGAUGAGCUGAUGAAGUCUAACAAGCUGCACAAAUCCAAUGUCCGGAACGUGCAAGGUUCUAAUUUGCCUUUAGAACUGAAGUGCCCAAUAUGCAAAAAUGUCUUCACGGAUGCAGUGAUGAUACCUUGUUGUCAGCAUAGCUUUUGCGAGAAGUGUAUAUAUCAAGUGCUUCUCACAAAGGGGAGGUGCCCCAAAUGUUACUCAAUAAAAUGCACUACAGCCGAUCUUCUCCCAAACUUGUCAUUGCGUCAAGCAACUGAACAUUUGCUUAAAUCUGAGAUGUUUGAUACUGGUUUUGAUAAUGUCAUGCCGAAAUAUGUGCCAGAUGAAGAAUCCGGAAUCCAAAUGAAUGAUGAUUCACGUGCUAUCACUUUAACCCAAUUCCUAAGAGAAAUGGGAGUUCCUCAGUCUUCUAUGGCAACUGGAAAAGGUCCAGUUCCUCAGUCUUCUACUGCAACUGGAAAAGGAUCGAAUCAGAUUCUCACAGAAUCAUUGCGCGAGCAACAUCAGAGAAAUGUGCCAUAUGGAAAUGCUGGUUGUAGAGAUUUUGAAGAUUUUGCACAAUCCGCAGAUUUUCAGGGUGAAAAUCAACCUAAAAGCCAUGCUGAAGCUGAUUCUGAUGCCAAGAGGAAAGGGGGGUUCUGUUUAGACUUGGGAGCUGGUGGAAGAAGAUUUUCAGGUCAUGGUAGAUACAGAAAGGACGUCCGUAAUUGCUUUUCAUGUGGUUCUUUUGACCAUCUCAUGAAAGACUGCCCAAUUUCCCAUCCAAAUCCCAUGUGUCAGCCAGGAUCCGGAGUGUUUCAUGGAGGUUUCCCAGGCUAUGCACCACCAUACUGGAAUGGCUCUUCAUUUCCGCCUUAUACACCCUAUGCAAAUAUGUAUAAUAACCCUUCUAUGAUGCCGUUCAAUCCCACCAUGGUCCCUGUUUCACCCUUUGUUGCUCCUCCUCCCUACAUUCCAUUACCUGGCCCUGGUGGAAACAUGAGACCUGGGAAUAUCGAACCUCCUCGUCUUGACCACUUUGGGAUUCAACAUUGCGGAAGUAAGAGGAAGAAGCUCUUAAAUGAAAAUCUAGAAAGAAACCAACUUCUCAACGACGAUGGUUCUUCAGAAUGCUAUCGACAUUACAGUCCGCAGAAAGCAUGUGAUCGUGAACCACAGAAUGACAGGGAACAAAGUUCAAGUCACUCUGAUGCUAGCUUGGUCCCAAGACCUGGGAGAAAAGAUCGGCAUGAAAAGUACAUGCACUCCGGUGGCUAUUCUGAUGAAAGACAUGUGAAGAGCCACCACGCCUUUUCUGGGAGGGAGAAGAGGCUCUCUCAUGCGGAGAGGUCAAACUCAGCCAAAGAAGACAAGUCCAGAAGCACUGAACGGCAUUGUGAGGGGAGACAUAUGUGUCAUCACAGAGAUUCAAAGGACAGUGACAGGAAGAGAGACAAGAGACACUAUGAUAAGAUUGAGUCUGACGCCCGAGAUUCUCACAGAAAGCAUCACCACAACCAAGCAGACUAUAAUUUUGAGCCUCGGACACCUGCUGAUAGGAGGGCAAGGGCUGGAUACUGCAAGAGGGAGGCUGGCCAAGAUUCAUCCAGGCAUCAGACAAAGCACUUACAAGAGAGACAUCACUGCGACAGGUUGCAGAUGGUGUAUGGCUCCAACGAGGACCGCAGAGAUGAAUACCGCCCCCAAAAACAUCGAGCAUAUUGAAAGAAGAGCAUAAUGGGGCACUAUGAAGAUGUGCCAAUGUACUGGUGAUUCCAUCUCUGUUAGUAUCAACUUGUAUGUUGUAUUGGUCAUGGUGAGAUUUCAUAUGCUAAUGGAAGCUUUCAUUUCUCAUCCGAUCCAUCUCUGAACAGAGAUCGGAUGCGCCCCGUUGGUGAUUAAGGUAUUGAGCAAGGUAUAUCUAUCUCUGACUCUGUCUCCACACACACACACACACACAGAGAUCAAGCUAUACAGGGUUUGGUCACCAACUGAUGAUUUUUUCCAAUCCAUUAUUCGGAAUUUUAACAACAUCAAGAAAUUAUCGUUCGCCUCCA